rnacentral:misc_RNA from 1 species
UCCGUUUUGUCAACGGCGGUCUGGCCUGAGUGCCCAACUUCACUUGCUGGCAACAGACCAUAGGGGUUGCGCUCGUUGCAGGACUUAACCUAACAUCUCACGACACGAGCUGACGACAACCAUGCACCACCUGUCUCUCUGCCCCGAAGGGACGCUGUAUCUCUACAGCCGUCAGAGGAUGUCAAGCCCUGGUAAGGUUCUUCGCGUUGCGUCGAAUUAAACAACAUACUCCACUGCUUGUGCGGGCCCCCGUCAAUUCCUUUGAGUUUCAGCCUUGCGGCCGUACUCCCCAGGUGGAAUACUUAUUGUGUUAACGCCGGCACAGGGGGAGUCGAUACCCCCUACACCUAGUAUUCAUCGUUUACGGCGUGGACUAC